rnacentral:tRNA from 1 species
GGGCAGAUGGCCGAGUGGCUAAUGGCAACGGUCUGUAAAACCGUCGGGGGGAACUCCUACACAGGUUCGAAUCCUGUUCUGCCCACCA